GUAGGUGGCAAGCGUUGUCCGGAAUUAUUGGGCGUAAAGCGCGCGCAGGCGGUUCUUUAAGUCUGAUGUGAAAGCCCACGGGCUCAACCGUGGAGGGUCAUUGGAAACUGGAGAACUUGAGUAUAGAAGAGGAAAGCGGAAUUCCACGUGUAGCGGUGAAAUGCGUAGAGAUGUGGAGGAACACCAGUGGCGAAGGCGGCUUUCUGGUCUGUAACUGACGCUGAGGCGCGAAAGCGUGGGGAGCAAACAGGAUUAGAUACCCUGGUAGUCCACGCCGUAAACGAUGAGUGCUAAGUGUUAGGGGGUUUCCGCCCCUUAGUGCUGCAGCUAACGCAUUAAGCACUCCGCCUGGGGAGUACGGCCGCAAAGGCUG
rnacentral:rRNA from 1 species